rnacentral:rRNA from 1 species
CCUACGGGUGGCAGCAGUGGGGAAUAUUGCACAAUGGGCGCAAGCCUGAUGCAGCCAUGCCGCGUGUAUGAAGAAGGCCUUCGGGUUGUAAAGUACUUUCAGCGGGGAGGAAGGCGGUGAGGUUAAUAACCUCACCGAUUGACGUUACCCGCAGGAGAAGCACCGGCUAACUCCGUGCCAGCAGCCGCGGUAAUAGGGAGGGUGCAAGCGUUAAUCGGAAUUGCUCGGCGUAAAGCGCACGCAGGCGGUCUGUCAAGUCGGAUGUGAAAUCCCCGGGCUCAACCUGGGAACUGCAUUCGAAACUGGCAGGCUUGAGUCUUGUAGAGGGGGGUAGAAUUCCAGGUGUAGCGGUGAAAUGCGUAGAGAUCUGGAGGAAUACCGGUGGCGAAGGCGGCUCCCUGGACAAAGACUGACGCUCAGGUGCGAAAGCGUGGGGAGCAAACAGGAUUAGAUACCCUAGUAGUC